rnacentral:sRNA from 1 species
CCCAGGGAUGAGAGAGUCUGCACGUACACAAGCAAUGCCAUGUAGCCCUGCCCCCCAAGUUAUCCCUGAUUGGUGAAUGAAGAUGCUCUACAGCCUAUAGCUGGGCAGAAGAGAGAGGGGCAGGGUUUGGGUUCCUGGCCUUGGAGUCUGGGGAAGAGACUCAGAGAUAAGGGAGAAGGUAGAGAGAGGAGAAGAUACUGUCCGGUAGGAAUGAGGUCCCGGCCCUUGAAGAUCAGGAGCAAACCGUGGUAUGGAGGAACGUUCGGCUGUCAUCCUGUAAAAUUAGAGACACAGUGUCACAUUCCAUAUCUGAUUAGCUACCAUCACUGGUGUUAGUGUCCCUGGGCUGGAUCUCAACGCGAGCUGCUCCGCUUGUGACUGUCAAUCACUUGAGCAAAUAGGAUGACACUUGCUCUCUCCCCUCAACAACUUGAAUGUGGUGUCUGCUCAAAUCAUCUGCCUCCUCCAGCCCCGAGUCUGCUGUGACAUCUGAGAGCCGCCGGAUCCCGACUCCCCGGCUCACCUGAUUAACUUCCCUGAGCCAAGUUGCUAGCCAAAGGGGAGAAAACGGAGCAUCUGUGUCUGCCAAUCAGGAACUGGAGAGACUGCUCCGUGGUAAAGAGCCCGGGAUGCUCUGGCAGAGGACCCACACGGUAUCACAUAACCCUCUGUAACUCCAGCCUCAGAGGAUCUGACGCCCUCUUCUGGCCUCCUCGGGCACUGCACGCACGUGGUGCCCAGAUACGAGCAGGCCAAACACCCAUACUUGUAAAUUAAGAAUAAAUGAGUAAGAUAUUUAAGACCAUCA